UACGUAGGGUGCGAGCGUUGUCCGGAAUUAUUGGGCGUAAAGAGCUUGUAGGCGGUUUGUCGCGUCUGCCGUGAAAAUUCGAGGCUCAACCUCGAACUUGCGGUGGGUACGGGCAGACUAGAGUGUGGUAGGGGAGACUGGAAUUCCUGGUGUAGCGGUGGAAUGCGCAGAUAUCAGGAGGAACACCGAUGGCGAAGGCAGGUCUCUGGGCCAUUACUGACACUGAGAAGCGAAAGCAUGGGGAGCGAACAGG
rnacentral:rRNA from 1 species